UAAUGGGUCAGCGACUUAUAUUCUGUAGCAAGGUUAACCGAAUAGGGGAGCCGAAGGGAAACCGAGUCUUAACUGGGCGUUAAGUUGCAGGGUAUAGACCCGAAACCCGGUGAUCUAGCCAUGGGCAGGUUGAAGGUUGGGUAACACUAACUGGAGGACCGAACCGACUAAUGUUGAAAAAUUAGCGGAUGACUUGUGGCUGGGGGUGAAAGGCCAAUCAAACCGGGAGAUAGCUGGUUCUCCCCGAAAGCUAUUUAGGUAGCGCCUCGUGAAUUCAUCUCCGGGGGUAGAGCACUGUUUCGGCAAGGGGGUCAUCCCGACUUACCAACCCGAUGCAAACUGCGAAUACCGGAGAAUGUUAUCACGGGAGACACACGGCGGGUGCUAACGUCCGUCGUGAAGAGGGAAACAACCCAGACCGCCAGCUAAGGUCCCAAAGUCAUGGUUAAGUGGGAAACGAUGUGGGAAGGCCCAGACAGCCAGGAUGUUGGCUUAGAAGCAGCCAUCAUUUAAAGAAAGCGUAAUAGCUCACUGGUCGAGUCGGCCUGCGCGGAAGAUGUAACGGGGCUAAACCAUGCACCGAAGCUGCGGCAGCGACACUAUGUGUUGUUGGGUAGGGGAGCGUUCUGUAAGCCUGUGAAGGUGGCCUGUGAGGGUUGCUGGAGGUAUCAGAAGUGCGAAUGCUGACAUAAGUAACGAUAAAGCGGGUGAAAAGCCCGCUCGCCGGAAGACCAAGGGUUCCUGUCCAACGUUAAUCGGGGCAGGGUGAGUCGACCCCUAAGGCGAGGCCGAAAGGCGUAGUCGAUGGGAAACAGGUUAAUAUUCCUGUACUUGGUGUUACUGCGAAGGGGGGACGGAGAAGGCUAUGUUGGCCGGGCGACGGUUGUCCCGGUUUAAGCGUGUAGGCUGGUUUUCCAGGCAAAUCCGGAAAACCAAGGCUGAGGCGUGAUGACGAGGCACUACGGUGCUGAAGCGACAAAUGCCCUGCUUCCAGGAAAAGCCUCUAAGCAUCAGGUAACAUCAAAUCGUACCCCAAACCGACACAGGUGGUCAGGUAGAGAAUACCAAGGCGCUUGAGAGAACUCGGGUGAAGGAACUAGGCAAAAUGGUGCCGUAACUUCGGGAGAAGGCACGCUGAUAUGUAGGUGAAGCGACUUGCUCGUGGAGCUGAAAUCAGUCGAAGAUACCAGCUGGCUGCAACUGUUUAUUAAAAACACAGCACUGUGCAAACACGAAAGUGGACGUAUACGGUGUGACGCCUGCCCGGUGCCGGAAGGUUAAUUGAUGGGGUUAGCGGCAACGCGAAGCUCUUGAUCGAAGCCCCGGUAAACGGCGGCCGUAACUAUAACGGUCCUAAGGUAGCGAAAUUCCUUGUCGGGUAAGUUCCGACCUGCACGAAUGGCGUAAUGAUGGCCAGGCUGUCUCCACCCGAGACUCAGUGAAAUUGAACUCGCUGUGAAGAUGCAGUGUACCCGCGGCAAGACGGAAAGACCCCGUGAACCUUUACUAUAGCUUGACACUGAACAUUGAGCCUUGAUGUGUAGGAUAGGUGGGAGGCUUUGAAGUGUGGACGCCAGUCUGCAUGGAGCCGACCUUGAAAUACCACCCUUUAAUGUUUGAUGUUCUAACGUUGGCCCGUAAUCCGGGUUGCGGACAGUGUCUGGUGGGUAGUUUGACUGGGGCGGUCUCCUCCUAAAGAGUAACGGAGGAGCACGAAGGUUGGCUAAUCCUGGUCGGACAUCAGGAGGUUAGUGCAAUGGCAUAAGCCAGCUUGACUGCGAGCGUGACGGCGCGAGCAGGUGCGAAAGCAGGUCAUAGUGAUCCGGUGGUUCUGAAUGGAAGGGCCAUCGCUCAACGGAUAAAAGGUACUCCGGGGAUAACAGGCUGAUACCGCCCAAGAGUUCAUAUCGACGGCGGUGUUUGGCACCUCGAUGUCGGCUCAUCACAUCCUGGGGCUGAAGUAGGUCCCAAGGGUAUGGCUGUUCGCCAUUUAAAGUGGUACGCGAGCUGGGUUUAGAACGUCGUGAGACAGUUCGGUCCCUAUCUGCCGUGGGCGCUGGAGAACUGAGGGGGGCUGCUCCUAGUACGAGAGGACCGGAGUGGACGCAUCACUGGUGUUCGGGUUGUCAUGCCAAUGGCACUGCCCGGUAGCUAAAUGCGGAAGAGAUAAGUGCUGAAAGCAUCUAAGCACGAAACUUGCCCCGAGAUGAGUUCUCCCUGACUCCUUGAGAGUCCUGAAGGAACGUUGAAGACGACGACGUUGAUAGGCCGGGUGUGUAAGCGCAGCGAUGCGUUGAGCUAACCGGUACUAAUGAACCGUGAGGCUUAACCUUACAACGCCGAAG
rnacentral:rRNA from 1 species